CGCCCACACACCAAGAAGCUCCAGGUCUGACUCCGCUGGCCGGCUGGGGCCUUUCUGUUUGCAGACGGUACACAAACACAGAUGGUUUCUGAACUCCGUGCAUCAGUGUUGGCAUUGUGGCUGCAGGAGCCACCGUGAUUGGACAGGGUGCUGCUAACCAGCGAGCUCUGCUAGCAAGCUUCAUCCACAUAGGCUUUGAGGAACAGACUGCUCACCUGCUGUACAGUAUGUCCCACCCCCACAGGUCUACUGAGACACGACAUGGAUCUCCUCACCUGUCAGCAACCAUCACCUGUUUCACUUUAAGACCACAGGGAAACCUUUUGUGCGUCGGUUUCUAGUAAUCAGACUGAUUCAGCGUUCAGGGAACUUUGGGUUUCCGACUGCCUUCAACAGUUUAUCAGCCUGUGACGGUCGGAGCAGCACCAAGGUGUGGCCGACAGCUCACAGCACACCUGUUCUUCUCAUUUCUGGCUCCAUAUGUAAAGUCAGACUCCACUCAGACAGCUGUGCACGUGUCACAGUUGAAAACAGUUUCCACAGGGCUCUCAGCUGUGGUCAAAGCAGUUGGUAAAAUUAGCCACAUGUAGCACAAAUUGCUAAAACACAUUUUACUAUUGUUUGAUGAAAGAACGAGCCUGUCGGGGAAAUAAUGACGACAAACUGCACGACUCUGAAGAGACUCGACUAAACUGGCUGCCUGCUGGUU